ensembl:lncRNA
CUAUCGAAGGAGGGGAGGAGCCUCUUCCGUUCAUCUACUAACUAAUUGGCUAUCGAAGGAGGGGAGGAGCCUCUUCCGUUCAUCUACUAACUAAUUAGCACCACUCGACCACUAAUCGGUUUCCGGAUCACGCAGGAGAGAGGACAGACUUUUUCCCAAAUGAGAAAAGGCCGUCCAUACAUACAUAGAAGAGUCUGUCCUUCUAGCGGUUGAUACUCAGAGAGAUACUAGUCUCUCUGAGACCAGAGGGACAGGUCAGUAAAACACAGAACAAUAAGGGACGAAAAUAGCUUUGAAUAGCUUUUCCCUGAAUAGGAGAAACUCUGGGGCUCCACGCUCACGUCGCUGACUGUCUGUGUAGGAAAACAAUAUGGCCACCCUGCAGUGAGAAGAGAACACCACUCAGCCUGACAACCAGGCUUCAUUGGGUGAGUCUGGGACUACGUCCUAAAUGGCACCCUAUUCCCUACAUAGUGCACUACUUUAUACCAGAGCUCUAUGGGCCCUGGCACCCUAUUCCCUAUAUAGUGCACUACUUUAGACCAGAGCCCUAUUCCCUACAUAGUGCACUACUUUAGACCAGAGCCCUAUGGCACCCUAUUCCCUACAUAGUGCACUACUUUAGACCAGAGCCUGUGUAGGGAAUAGGGUGACGUUCACUGUCUGCACUGGAAACUGGUGCAGAGAGGAGAGGAGGAGAGAGAGAAAGGAAGGAAAGGAGGAGAGAGAGAAAGGAAGGAAAGGAGGAGAGAGAGAAAGAAAGGAAAGGAAAGGAGGAGAGAGAGAAAGAAGAAAGGAAAGGAGGAGAGAGAGAAAGGAAGGAGAGGAAAACUGGCAGGCAGACUGGAUGACUCUGGGGAGAAGAGAGGAGGGAGGGAGGGGAGAAGGAGGGAGGGAGAUGGGAGGUAAAGAACAAGGAGGGAGGGAGAUGGGAGGUAAAGAACAAGGAGGGAGGGAGAUGGGAGGUAAAGAGGAAGGGAGUCUGGAGAGAAUGCAAAGUGAGGGAGAUGGAUAGAUGUAAAGUGGAAGAGAGGGAGAAGGGAGAGUGAGGAGAUAUGAGGGAGAGAGAGCAGGCAGAGUGAGGGAGAGAGAGAGAGCAGGCAGAGUGAGGGAGAGAGAGAGAGCAGGCAGAGUGAGGGAGAUAGAGAGAGCAGGCAGAGUGAGGGAGAGAGAGAGAGCAGGCAGAGUGAGGGAGGGAGAGAGAGCAGGCAGAGUGAGGGAGGGAGAGAGAGCAGGCAGAGUGAGGGAGGGAGAGAGAGCAGGCAGAGUGAGGGAGAUGUAGGGAGAGAGAGCAGGCAGAGUGAGGGAGAUGUAGGGAGAGAGAGCAGGCAGAGUGAGGGAGAGAGAGAGCAGGCAGAGUGAGGGAGAUGUAGGGAGAGAGAGCAGGCAGAGUGAGGGAGAGAGAGCAGGCAGAGUGAGGGAGAUGUAGGGAGAGAGACCAGGCAGAGUGAGGGAGGGAGAGAGACCAGGCAGAGUGAGGGAGAUGUAGGGAGAGAGAGCAGGCAGAGUGAGGGAGAUGUAGGGAGAGAGAGCAGGCAGAGUGAGGGAGAGAGAGAGAGAGCAGGCAGAGUGAGGGAGAUGUAGGGAGAGAGAGCAGGCAGAGUGAGGGAGAGAGAGAGAGAGCAGGCAGAGUGAGGGAGAUGUAGGGAGAGAGAGCAGGCAGAGUGAGGGAGAUGUAGGGAGAGAGAGCAGGCAGAGUGAGGGAGAGAGAGAGAGCAGGCAGAGUGAGGGAGAGAGAGAGAGCAGGCAGAGUGAGGGAGAUGUAGGGAGAGAGAGCAGGCAGAGUGAGGGAGGGAGAGAGACCAGGCAGAGUGAGGGAGGGAGAGAGAGCAGGCAGAGUGAGGGAGGGAGAGAGAGCAGGCAGAGUGAGGGAGAUGUAGGGAGAGAGAGCAGGCAGAGUGAGGGAGAUGUAGGGAGAGAGAGCAGGCAGAGUGAGGGAGAUGUAGGGAGAGAGAGCAGGCAGAGUGAGGGAGAUUUAGGGAGAGAGACC